GUGAGACACUUGGAACCUGGAACUGCAAUCUUUUAUGUUUUGAUCGCCUUUCUCAGCUGUCCACUAAGCGACAUCAAUAGCUGAAGCGAUUUCUACCAAGUGGAGAAGGCCAAAAAAGCUGGCUAGUGACACUUUCGUUCUAUCUCUGGAGCCGGCUGACUGACUAACUUCCUGUGCUGUGAAGAAGGCAUUUCUGGAAUUUUAGUGGGGAAGGAAUUUUCUUGGUAGUUCGGAAGUGGUUAAACUGCUGGUUUCCUUUACCCACUUGCUGACCGUAUUAUCCACUGUCUGACUCACUGAUAUGACGUCUAAGAGACGAACCAGCCAAGUCAAGCAGUUGCAGAUACUCAUCAGGAAAAGCAGUGUCUCAUCUUGAGACACACGGACGUCAGGCGUCUCAAACGCAAACCUGUCUGUGUGCAGUUGC
ensembl:processed_transcript Gm12602 predicted gene 12602